AUUCAAAGUAAUGGCGGCUUCAGUCGUUUGGAUUAAUAGGUCGACCAAGGUGGCCAAAUAGUCGUCAUGGACAAGAAAACUUACAUUGAUGGUGUGACUAAACUCUUAAAUGAAGGACCAUAUAAUCUGAUCCCUAAAGACCCUUCACCUUCGAACCUCUCAAAAACCCCAUCUUAAAGCAGGAAUAUCGGUGAAAAGGGUGUAGGAUUUUUCAAUAUUUUAAAUGAUUGGAUGUUGGGACUUUUAAUGUGGUCUUGCAAGCUAUCCAGCCAAAGAAAAAAAAGUUGCAAUUGAAGCUUAGUUUAAAAUGGCUACUAAAGAGGAAGAUUAUUGAAGUUUUAGCCCAUCAACUGCUUUCAGAUCAUGCAUUUGGUCCAUGUAUAGUUUGGGUUUGACACCACUGCAGUACAGUAUACGAUGAUAAUAAUUCAAAGGAGGCCAACGAGCCUUCAAAACUGAUACAAAAAAAUCGGAGCCUAAAACAGAAAACUUUCUUAUACUAUGUUAGUAACAAUUUUGAAAGAUGACCUUCCUUAGGGCUCUGACACAUCUCAUUUCUGAAAUUAAGCCCUGCCCUUUCAGCAGUACAAGUGAUCCCAAACUCCAUAAUAUUCAACAAAAGUAAUUCAUAGUUUCACUGAAUAUUUUCUGUUUGACAUUAUUAUUUUGUCCCAGACCUCUAUAAAUCUAAUAUCCAUAUUCAUUUAAAAUACAUUUUCAUAGACAGUAGAAUAUUCUAACCGUACACAUGACAUACAGAAGUUAAGCUUCACCCUCAUUUUCCUCGAAUUGACUGUGUAUUUUCCCCAUAUGCAUUCUUUUAACUGGAGCUCUAAUUCAUUAAAACUUAUGAUGCCAGAGAACUGCAAUGCUUAAAUGAACUGUGAACGCUUAGGAGCUGUUCACUUCUUAAGAGGAGCAAAGCCGUCUAGCUUAAGGCAAACCUUAUCCAUCCUGGACAGUCCUGACUAAAGCUAUCUUGUCUUAGUUUCGAAUUCUAUUUCUUUUUUAAUGUUAAUGAGUGUUGCAGAUAUAUGUGUAGAAGGAAUCUGCUUUGACAAUCUCUGAAACCAUCUCUUGGAAUGGCUAAUCUUCUCUGUGUUGCAAGGUAAUCUAAUUUCUGUCAUUUUUGUCAAUGAUACUCUGCACUUGUCUGUACUGCCUGUACUGUCAAAACACCCAGGUGCUGUUUACCAACAAGAUUGAAGCUGAUCUCAAGAUUGUUUAUAAUGCUAUGAGCAUUCAAGGUCUAAUGUUAUAGAGCAUCUUAAAAAAGCAAAAUAAACUGGGUUACUAGCUUUAUGCUGAGUAUAUUUAAAAGCGAAAUGAGACUCAGUAAAACUUGCAGCCUACAAGAUUUCGGAUUAAAGAGUGUCUCGAAUCCAUUUUAAAUGUCAGAAGUUUAAACAGUGUUAAAAGAUCGAGUUUUUUAAUGUCUUCAAACCAAUUUUUCUAAUAAACAGGUCUCUGAAAACUGUUGAAAAAAGAAUCAUCUAUAAACUAAUUGUAAAGAAAAGUUUGACUUUGUAAAGAGGCAGGUCAAAAAUAUAAGUAGAAAUUAGAUAUGAAUCUUUCAGGUAUCAGUAUGAGUUGUGAAUCUAUCGGUCAUAUAAUAGACUGAUCACUGAGAAAAUUGUCCACAGGGAGCAAACAAUAUUAAUUUGCUAUAAAGACAGAAGACAGCACACAUACACAGAACCAAGCCUCAUGGAGGAGUUGUACUCGUACCCUUGGCUUCGAGCUAACAGUCGGGCUGUGCCAGCUAUUGUACAGUCCAGGGCGGCAUAUUGUUUUGCAUUCAAAAGUUGAAACUUUCUAACUUAAUUUUUCUAAUUUACUUUCAUUUGACCCACUCUCAUAAACAACCAAUGAAAUUUUUCUUUAAAUUAAUGUACUGGAUAUAAAUUUCCAUUCACCUAAUGAAAGCAGCCAUUUUUACUCCGAGAUCUUUGUCUUCAUUGAAACAGAUCUUCAUAAAAGUAGAUUGCACCUUAAUUUCCUGCAUCACUUACCUCACUAAGAUGUUCAAUGAAUUUGCUACAUAUUGCAUUCAGUGUUGAAUAUCCCUACCUGUUAAAGCAUUUUUAUAAUUUUAUUGCCAAUAGCUUGUGAGGACCAUGUAUCGAUUCUUUUAAGAAAUGUCUAAUAUCUUUACAGAUCUUGACAAGGUGAUUAAGUGUUAGGUUAUGUUAUUUGGCAAAGCACUUGAGAGCUAUUUGCCUAAGGGCAGAGAUACCUUCAUGGAGGACAUUCUAAGAGAAACUGGCUUGUAUUUACAUUUCACCUGAGGAAAACCAAUCAUGCAGCCAGCCCAUUUGCCUGGUAUUAACUCUGGGUCGAUGUCCCAGCAUUCAGCAUUCAUAUCUACUUGGCCACUGGUGAGGUCAGAUAAAAAAAUGAAUAAUUAUCUCUAAAUAUAUCUGUCAUGUAAACAAUGGUUUAAUUAUAUGUGUAUUUUUAUAAAUAUUAUGUAAUUAAUAAAAACAUUUUUAUACUAUG